UGGGGGAUAUUGCACAAUGGGCGAAAGCCUGAUGCAGCGACGCCGCGUGGGGGAUGAAGGCCUUCGGGUUGUAAACUUCUUUUGCUCUGAACAAGGCAUGCUAAUGGGUGUGUUGAGUGUAGGGGUUGAUUAGCGCCGGCUAACUACGUGCCAGCAGCCGCGGUAAUACGUAGGGCGCGAGCGUUGUCCGGAAUUAUUGGGCGUAAAGGGCUUGUAGGUGGCUGGUUGCGUCUGUCGUGAAAGCUCAUGGCUUAACUGUGGGUUUGCGGUGGGUACGGGCUGGCUUGAGUGCAGUAGGGGAGGCUGGAAUUCCUGGUGUAGCGGAGGGAUGCGCAGAUAUCAGGAGGAAUACCGGUGGCGAAGGCGGGUCUCUGGGCUGUUACUGACACUGAGGAGCGAAAGCAUGGGGAGCGAACAGG
rnacentral:rRNA from 1 species